GUGGAGGUUGCAGUGAGCUGAGAUCGCGCCACUGCACUCCAGCUUGGGCGACAGAGCGAGACUCCAUCUAAAAAAUACAGCUGUAUCAAAUCUGCUUGUGCUUUGGCCAUCUGAGAGAUCUUAAGUGUGCAAUGCAAUGAGGAUGGAGCAACGUAUACACCAAUCAAGAGAAAGAACAUGUCCAUUACCCCAAAAAGUUCUCUUACACCCGCUUCCAGGCUAGAGUGCAGUGGUAGGAUCUCGGCUCACUGCAGCAUUGACCUCCUGGGCUCAAGCUAUCCUCCCACCUCAGCCUUCUGAGUAGCUGGGACCGCAGAGGUGCAUCACCAUACUCGGCUAAGUUUUAUGUAAUUCACUGAAACACGACUGAUAGACCCCGAAGAAGAAAAGGGCCGAAUAUUAUUUGGGUCAAGAAUACUUUACUCUCAGGAAGCAAAAACAUUCUGAAAGGUUCCAAAUGAAAGAAGACAUCUGAUGGGCAAUGUGUAAAUCACUGGACUAAUCUGAUUUUGUUAUGCACUUACACCUGUGAUUCCGGAUGUCAAAUUUCGCAAGUCCUUUAUCCCUUGAAUUUUCCUAUAAAAUACCAUUGAAAGAGGGAAAGAAGAUGGCUAGUGGACACUUUUCUACACCAUCAAUGUAGAAGGCAACUGAUCCUGAGCACACGUCUCCAUGGCGGCAGGAGUCAUUGCUUUUUAGAUCACGUUCUCCGAGCAAGAGCCGAGAAAUCGAUAUCUCUCACAAGGCUGUAGACGUGCUGGAACUGAUUAGUCAUUAACCUAUUGUCACUCCUCCCAGCGCUCAUGGAAGGAGUUGCAGCAUGUCAAUGGAUUUUAAAAGAGUACCAGGAUUAAACUUCUCCAUGGCAGUGGGCAUUUGUGAAAGGUCUGUUCUGAAAUACCAGUACCAUCUUCUCACAUGUUAAGGGCCAAAAAUCUCAGUAAGUCACUCCAAAUCAGGUUUUACAGAUGAUUUUUUGAAAUAUUGAUUCUGGUAUUGUCCCUGAAAAUUUAAUUUAUCAAAUAAGCCAAUUAAGAAGCGUCUUUUAAAGGCACGUAGGGACCAUUCAGCACUGGAUGGACAAGAAAAUGAACAUAUUAAUCUUACAGUCAGCAACGUUUUGUUGAUGCUUUGGAAACUGAACUGCAAAGGAGUACUUAAAUGAACUGAAAGAGUUAAUUUGACUUCUAAGAGCCAUAAACUGGCUUGGGUUGGGUGGAUUCUGUAUUCCCAGACUCUGGUUCAAUAAAAAUGUAAAUGUUAUCUGGGUACACAAAGCAUAUUUCAUGGCGAUAAUGAAUCUGUUGACAUACUGUUCAUACUUUAUUAUAUAAAUUUU
rnacentral:lncRNA from 1 species